UACGUAGGGUGCGAGCGUUAAUCGGAAUUACUGGGCGUAAAGCGUGCGCAGGCGGUUUGGUAAGACAGAUGUGAAAUCCCCGGGCUUAACCUGGGAAUUGCAUCUGUGACUGCAUCGCUGGAGUGCGGCAGAGGGGGAUGGAAUUCCGCGUGUAGCAGUGAAAUGCGUAGAUAUGCGGAGGAACACCGAUGGCGAAGGCAAUCCCCUGGGCCUGCACUGACGCUCAUGCACGAAAGCGUGGGGAGCAAACAGG
rnacentral:rRNA from 1 species